AAUCCACGCCACUUUAUUUUUUUUUUUUGAACUGUAAACAUCUCAUCUUCUAAACCUAGUGCGCAGGGAGUCAGCACCGUGCGCACCAUGGCACCCAGAACCUCCGCAACCUGGAACCUCCGCACCUCAGAACCCCCGCAACCUGGCACCCUAGAACUUCUGCGCCAUAAAACCACCGCAACCUGGCAUCCUAGAACCUCCGUAUCUUGGCAGUUGCGUCGUGAACGAGCGCUGGCCGAGCGUGGCAUUUGUGUACUUACUUAUGUUCUAUUACUUUUAUUAUGCUUUAAUACUUGUUCUUAUAUAGGGUUAGCAACUAGUUGUGGGGGUCUGGUACUGUGGUUUGUUGGUGGGGUAAUGGGGCGUAGCUAUGCGGUACGGCCGCAAAGCAUUGCUUCGCACAGCCGUUCCUCCUUAAUCCGCCGACACUUUCCUUUCCCUCUCCGCUCUCUGUAGUUCCCGCAUUAUAGUGGCGGCGAACCUAGUGGUGGCAUCCCACGCCUUGGGAUUCGCUACCAUGAGCGGCACGAUCCCUCCGACGCUAAUGCUGCGUACAUAUGUAUGUAUGUAUACUUACCCAUCAAUAACGCCACUUUGAACGUAUAUACAUGUGCAAACAGAGAAAAUGGGGACAACUGGCUCUUUCGUUUCACUGCACAUAGACAUGUGCAUUUUGUCACUCGCAAUCGACUAUCCUUCUUGAGAGCGCCUUGGACCCUCAUGACUCAUCCAUUAGUCUUGUUUGAGUUGUUUGUGCAGAAAUAUAUAUUCUUCUCAUUGAUUUGAAUAAGUCUAUUACCGAACAUACACCUUUAAUGGGCCUCCCAUAGACCCACAAAACUCCGUCAUAGUCUGUUCUUUUCUUCACGGCUCACUCUUCCUGUGCUGAGGUUUUUGAAUAACUUUUCUUGCGACCCCCGACCAAUAUUCAUAGAGAUUGCAAUUUAGACCUUAACCUCCCCUCCUGUAGUUCCUCUUCUGCACUUUUUUGUCUUUGAGUAGCAGAUGUUGUUGUUUGGGUUCGUAAACCAUAAUUAAAUUGGCAAACGUAAAAAAGACAAGAGCCAUCAGACAGAAAAUACCGUAGAUACUCUGCCCUACAUGGUAUUUUUUUUUUCUGUGUAUUUUGCAUUAAUGGCGGAAUUUUGUCACUCGCAAUCGACUAUCCUUCUUGAGAGCUGUUCUCUUAAGCUGUUCUCCGUCCGCACACGCAGCAGCAUCUUAAGAUUCAUGAAGAAGAAUAUACGAAUUAGUACUCCCCUGUGUAUAAAAAAAAUGGUGCGCAAAGCCAGUUCCAGCGAAAAUUGUUAUAUUCGUUGACGCAGGUUGCCUGAUGCACAAGAAGAUGGCUAGAAAAAAAUAUAUACACAGAAUGUGUAGAUUGUUGUCUUUUUGGGGUCUUAUACUGCUCCCAAACUCAAAUUUUGUGCACUAUACUAUACUAUUAAAUAAAUAAUAAUUUACACUGCGAGAGAUAUAUACACUGUCUCCAUAUGAUGCUAGAUACCUGUGUGCCAGAGCGGCGUUAGUUAUACGGUUCAAACUUUGAACUUUAGUUAUUUUAUAUAGGUAUUUUAAGAUCCUCUUAAAAAACAAAAUGUACAACAUGUGCGGGGAAGGGUUGUUGUGUUGGGUAGGGGACAAUCUUCGGGAUCAGGGGUCACAUAUCGGAUGGAGGAUCCCAUUGGGGACUGGAUACUUUAGUGGCGUGGGAUAACAUUAUACAAAUGUUGCUUAUACAUAGCUAGGUAGGUAGGUAUACAAACAUAUACGUAAAAUAGGGGUAUAGAGAGGGUUUGAAUAUUUACAACUUAACAUGGCAACCUUAGGCCUAGGAUAAAACUAUUUGCUUACAUUACAAUUUAAAUAAUAUAUUAAAAUAUAUAGCGGACAAGGUCAAUAUACAAAAAAUAUAAUAUAUAUUUAAGGAUUCCAAAUAGGAGAAGACCAUAAUCUUUAAAUACACGUUUCGAACAGUUUUUACCUGUACCUAAAAGGUACGUAUCGUAAGACUGGAACAGUAUCUAGCAUGAACUUCAGAGCUCAUAUCAUAUGUAUCAUAUAUAACAUUAUUAAAUUUGUAAUGUUAUGUUUAAAAAGAAAUCAUACUUUUCAAUAAGGAUUCUGAUGAUUGCAGAUUAUUAUAAUCCAAACAAAUGUAGUUCUUUGGUUUUUUGUUGGUUUGGCUUUUAUUUUCAUACUUCUUUACAAUAGUUUGUCAAAUUACAAUAAUUUCUUCUUGUUUUUGGCCCUUUUUCAAGCAUCAGUCUUCGUUUACCAUGUCUGCUUUUAAUUUUUAAAAUUUCAAAUGUAAGUACACUGUGUUCUGUAGGUAAUCCCCUCAUAUUUCUACUGUUCUAGAUAAUCGUUUGUCUAACUACAAUUAUUUCUGAUUUUGUACAAAAUGUCCUGCAGGGGAUUACCUUCAGAUUUCAUUGAGAUUGAAUUAAGCUAAGUGUUCGCCGAAACUGAAAGGGUAUUUGUUCAUCGAUGGUAAUCGCUUCUUAAUUAUACCCGAUA